UGGGGAAUAUUGGACAAUGGGGGAAACCCUGAUCCAGCCAUGCCGCGUGUGUGAAGAAGGCCUUUUGGUUGUAAAGCACUUUAAGCAGUGAAGAAGACUCCGUGGUUAAUACCCACGGACGAUGACAUUAGCUGCAGAAUAAGCACCGGCUAACUCUGUGCCAGCAGCCGCGGUAAUACAGAGGGUGCAAGCGUUAAUCGGAAUUACUGGGCGUAAAGGGAGCGUAGGUGGCUCGAUAAGUCAGAUGUGAAAUCCCCGGGCUUAACCUGGGAACUGCAUCUGAUACUGUUGAGCUAGAGUAUGUGAGAGGAAGGUAGAAUUCCAGGUGUAGCGGUGAAAUGCGUAGAGAUCUGGAGGAAUACCGAUGGCGAAGGCAGCCUUCUGGCAUAAUACUGACACUGAGGCUCGAAAGCGUGGGUAGCAAACA
rnacentral:rRNA from 1 species